rnacentral:rRNA from 1 species
CCUACGGGGGGCAGCAGUGAGGAAUAUUGGUCAAUGGGCGCGAGCCUGAUCCAGCCAAGUAGCGUGAAGGAUGACUGCCCUACGGGUUGUAAACUUCUUUUAUAAAGGAAUAAAGUGAGGCACGUGUGCCUUUUUGUAUGUACUUUAUGAAUAAGGAUCGGCUAACUCAGUGCCAGCAGCCGCGGUAAUACGGAGGAUCCGAGCGUUAUCCGGAUUUAUUGGGUUUAAAGGGAGCGUAGAUGGGUUGUUAAGUCAGUUGUGAAAGUUUGCGGCUCAACCGUAAAAUUGCAAUUGAUACUGGCAGUCUUGAGUACAGUUGAGGUAGGCGGAAUUCGUGGUGUAGCGGUGAAAUGCUUAGAUAUCACGAAGAACUCCGAUUGCGAAGGCAGCUUACUAAACUGCCACUGACAUUGAUGCUCGAAAGUGUGGGUAUCAAACAGGAUUAGAUACCCGUGUAGUC